rnacentral:rRNA from 1 species
UACAGAGGUCUCAAGCGUUGUUCGGAUUCAUUGGGCGUAAAGGGUGUGUAGGUGGCGCCGUAAGUCGGGUGUGAAAUUUCGGAGCUUAACUCUGAAACUGCACUCGAUACUGCUUUGCUUGAGGACUGGAGAGGAGAUUGGAAUUCACGGUGUAGCAGUGAAAUGCGUAGAUAUCGUGAGGAAGACCAGUGGCGAAGGCGGAUCUCUGGACAGUUCCUGACGCUGAGGCGCGAAGGCCAGGGGAGCAAACGGG